GGAUGUUUUAAUAAUGGGCUCUGCGAGAGCCUCGUUGCCUGGCAACCGCCUGCUGUCAACAUGCAGGCUGUGUUACCGUGGGAACAGGAUGACUGGUGGGAAGAGUGGGACACAAAGCUGCGUUCCAGCAAACAGUGAUCAGCUGACAUCUGGGGUCAACAUCAUGAGAUCCAACAGGAGGACAACUCUCAAUCAUAUGCACACACAAAUCCUUGAAAAGGCAUUGUUCAUGACAGACCGGGAGGUUUUACGACUGCCAUAUCCUACAAAGCACCCCUCCUAACAUAGACACACUAGGGUGACAUGACACCAAUGUCCUGUGAGACAUCAUAGAUUCAAG
ensembl:lncRNA